rnacentral:rRNA from 1 species
UACGUAGGGGGCAAGCGUUGUCCGGAUUUAUUGGGCGUAAAGAGCGUGUGAGCGGCCAGGUAGGUCUGCUGUGAAAACUCGAGGCUUAACCUCGAGCUGUCGGCGGAAACCAUCUGGCUAGAGUCCGGAAGAGGAGAAUGGAAUUCCCGGUGUAGCGGUGAAAUGCGCAGAUAUCGGGAAGAACACCCGUGGCGAAGGCGGUUCUCUGGGACGGUACUGACGCUGAGACGCGAAAGCGUGGGGAGCGAACAGG